rnacentral:lncRNA from 1 species
UGGUUGCUUAACGUCCAGUGGCAAAUAUUUCAUGCAUAUUCAGGACGAGAACAAGUUCACAAUAAAUACAAUAGGUAGGUUGAUACAAUAGAGGCCAUCUGGGAUGAUGGUCAGGGAAAUUUGGACUGCCACUGGAAAAUGAGGGUAUAUUGGAUAGGGUCAGAAAUUUUGCCUUGCAACAGCCCUACGGAACCCUCAAAGAGUUGUUGCAAGGGUUCUUAACGUGCAAAGAGCGUGGCACUCUCUUUACACGAGUCAUCGGAUUUAACGUCCCCCUUCUGACCGGACGUGACUGCGAACUUGAUACAUCCGCACAGCCAAACGGACGCCCCACUUCGGCAAGCGUUUUACUGCCGGUCGGGAGAAGACCAAGUGACCAUAUUUCUAUUCCCCAGUCACCCUUGG